GGGUCGGUAGCUCAGCUGGUUAGAGCGCACGCCUGAUAAGCGUGAGGUCGGAGGUUCAAGUCCUCCUCGACCCACCA
rnacentral:tRNA from 6 species